rnacentral:rRNA from 1 species
UAGGGAAUUUUCCACAAUGGACGAAAGUCUGAUGGAGCAACACCGCGUGCAGGAUGAAGGCCUUCGGGUCGUAAACUGCUUUUAUGGAUGAAGAAUUAAGACAGUAGUCCAAGAAUAAGGGACGGCUAACUACGUGCCAGCAGCCGCGGUCAUACGUAGGUCCCAAGCGUUAUCCGGAAUUACUGGGCGUAAAGAGUUGCGUAGGUGGUUUAUUAAGUAGAAAGUGAAAGCACACGGCUCAACCGUGUAAACAUCUUCUAAACUGGUAAACUAGAGGGCGAGAGAGGUUUCUAGAAUUUCUUGUGUAGGAGUGAAAUCCGUAGAUAUAAGAAGGAAUACCGAUGGCGUAGGCAGGAAACUGGCUCGCACCUGACACUAAGGCACGAAAGCGUGGGGAGCGAACG